rnacentral:lncRNA from 1 species
UUGAUUUUUGUACUAAACGGAUCUUAUGACGCUUCGCAAAUUCUUCAUCUAAGAAACAAGCAGAUGCUCUUGAAUCUAAUAAUGCUAAGGUUCUCAGUUUUUGAGGGCCAAUAAGCAAAGGGAUUGUAAAGCAAAGGGCAAGUUGAGCAGAAAGAAAAGAAACUGAUUGUUGUUGCGAUAUUUCACUGUCCAGCCGCACGGUUCCUAUUGUGGCUAGGCAUCCUCGUUUUCCUGAACAAAUGCGCCCCUAGUCCUGACAAUACGUCGAUUUUGCUUCUUGGAAUAGUUUCUAACUUUGUGGCCUUCUUCACCGCAAUACAAGCAUAGACCUUCCUCCUUACGCCACUUUUUUUCUUCUAGAGUAAGGGAUUUGAUACGUACCGCAUCAAUUUGCAUGUCUUCUACCUCUGAAUGUAAACUCAUGCUGCUUGCUGAUAUAGUUCGGGCGUGGCGAACUGUAUGUUGUCUUGAACAUUGGUCUUGGCGGCAUUGGAAUAGGCGGUUAUCAAACUUCACAGCUUGGUUAAUAGCUUCAUUGAGCGUUUGUGGAUCAGGAAGAGUUAAUAGCAAAUCCUUCACAUCUUCCUUUAAACCCCAAUAGAAUUGAUUCAUCAACGCUUCUUCGUCCCAAUUGAUGUCGCAUGCUAAUUGCCUGAAGUUUGAUGCAUAGACUGAUGUACAGUGCAUCCCUUGUCAUAGUGACCGGAUCUUUGUUGUAGCCCAUCGAACCUUGUCGUGUUUACUAAAUGCUUCUGCAAACGCCUCCAAAAAGGUUUCAAAGUUAUUUAAUAUGGACGAUCAUUUCUCAAACAAAGGAACAAACCAUUAUAGAGCUUGCCCUGUAAGUAAGGUUCCAACAAGCCCAACACGUGACUCCUCCAUUGGAUAGUGUUCGGGUUGUAAAACUGUUAUCAAUCUGAUUUGAUUGACGAAUCCUCGGAACUUGGAAUGCGUACCAUCGAACUUAUCCGGAAGGCUAAUUUGAGGCUCCUUAUGUUGUAGAACCAACGGUGCUUGUCGAACUUGAGGCAAAAUUGCUUCUCAAAGUGCAGAAGUUUGAGGCUGAUACAACCUAGAUUGUGCCAUCCCAGAUGCUCCAUCAUUAUGAAGCCUUGCCACGACUCCUUCAAUUUCUGCAGUUCUUUGCGAUAACGUAGCGAGGGCAUUCAUGACAGCAUCCAACUUGGACUCUGAACUUUUCGUCAUACUAAUGUCUUGGCCUCCGACCAUUCUAAGAGGACAGAAAUGACUCUACAAGAAGACAAUAUUGGUUUAGAGGAGGGUACUCCGCAACCUCUAAAAUGCCUUAAGAGCUUCAAGAAAAGGGGUAAUCCACUCUCUCCAAGAAGAAUAAGACUCCAAUAUUGUAACAAAAUAAGUAUCAGUUUAGAAGAGGGUAAUCCGCAACCUCUAAAAUGCUAGUACACUUCCAAGCAGAGGAGUAAUCUACAUUCUAAUGAAGAAGAAACUAGCUCUGAUAUCUGAGGUGAAUGAAGUCUCGACAAAUUGUCACGGACACAGAAAUACAGACUCGAGAUCUAACAAGAAGUUCAAGAAGAAUUGACAAGAACUAGAUUAAUCAGAUGAAUACAAGAACAACACCAAAGAGGUGAGCUAGAGCUCUAAGAGAUGUGUUGUCGAGACUAAAGAACUCUUCAGCCUCGAUUCCAAUAUAUACUCCUAUUUAGGAAGCUUCUCAAGCAACUUUUACCAACUAAGAAGCUUCUAGAAGGUUCUAGAGACUUGCUUCUAAAAGAUUCUAGAAACUUGUCUCUAGAAGGUUCUAAAGACUAUGUCCCUAACAUCUUCUAUCAACUAAGAAGCUUCUAGAAGGUUCUAGAGACUUGCUUCUAGAAGAUUCUAGAAACUUGUCUCUAGAAGGUUCUAAAGACUAUGUCCCUAACAGUAGCUAGGAACCCAGUGCUUUCUUGAGACAAACUCUCUCUACCUUGAUAUCAUAUAUAUGGUGAUUGGAUUGGAAGCACCUUCUAGAUAAUGAUGCCAUUCUUGAAAAGAAUCUACAAUUGUAAGAAGUUCUUUAUCGUGGAUUUCAUAGUUAUUCUUGGCUAUUGAAAAAUUCCUAGAAUAGAAAGCUACUAGGUAGAACUAGUUAUCUUCUACUAUUAGAUGCUUCAAUAGAAAAUUUUGAAUUACAUAUGAAAUUCUUGGCUAAGUUCUUAUCAUUAUACUUCUUAAGUUAAAUCAACUUAUUUUGUGAUAAACUGUAGAUUGAAUCAAAUGGUGGCUGACUUUUUUUUUAAGAUCAAUUGAGCACUCAUAUGGACAAUACUCUGGGAGAAUAUCUACAUCCUUCUUCUCAAAAAUAUCUUUAAAAUCUUAAUAUUUAUUUAGAAUACUACUUGAAGUCUUUCCAUCACUAAAAAUGGAUGUGCAUAAAUAACAAAGGGCAAUCCUUCUUUUACAACAUGCAAAAAAGCUUUUGUACCUACGAGUAUGGAUUUGGCUAUAUUAGACUCAUGGCUUUUCAAAAAACUCUUAAUAGUACUCUGAAGAAAGUCAAAUUUACAAAAAAUCCAAUCUAUUAGAAGAUUAUACUUUUCUAACCACAAUAAAAUAAAAAUGAUCCGAUUAAAAGAAGAUCUAAUUAUAUUAAAAAUUAUACAACUAUUGUAACCAUUCAAUGCUACAUCUACAAGAAGUGUUUCAUAAAUAAUAUCUCUAGAAGAUAAUAGAUGGCUAUCUAUGACUUCUACAUGUACCAAUUUAGUUUUUUGUAUUAACAAUAUUCUAUGGCUUUUAACAAAUUCUUUAUCUAAAAAAUAAGAUGAAGCUCCUAAAUCUAUCAAGGCAAAGGCUUUGUGAUUAUUAGGUUCUAAAUGCACAUCUAUUAUAAAAUAAAGAGAGGGUUCUGAGGAGAAGAUAGGACCUUCAUUUAUACAAGAUUCUAGCUAUAUGGUCCCUAUUGUAGGUAUACAAAUUUGUUCUCUGAUAUUUUUUCAUCUUUGACAGUCGCACUCUUUAUUUUGUAGUAGUGUUAAUUCUUUGGACAAUGUUGAGUAGUAUGCUAAGCUUUUCCAAAAUAUAAACACAAUCUUUCUUAAUGAUGAAAAGUCUUUUCUUGUUUAAUAAGAAGUUUAAAUCAUAUUACAUUAAUUUUCAUGUUUCUUACUUCCAGUUGUUUGGAUUGAGAGGUCGUCAAUGUUGUCAUUGAAUUAUAAUGUCGUGGAGGUUUUCUUGUCUAAUUCUUAGAUUGAAACUAAAAAGCCAAUUAUUACACUUCAUAGCAAAAGAAAUUGCUUGAUUCAAUAUUUGAAGAUUAAAUAAGUUGAGCAUCAAUUUCUUUACCUUAUAUUAUAAUCUAUAGAGAAAUUUUCCAGAUAAGGAUAACAUCAUCAUACUUGAUAUCAGCCACUAGUUAUCAAAAUUGUGAGGUAUAUGAUAUCACUAAUUAAUUACUUUAUUACAAAAUAUGAAUUUUAUUGGUUGCAACACAAAUUACAUCAUAUUCUCUAUACAUGUAUUAAAACUCUCUCAAAAAAGCUUCCAGAUUAUCAAAUAUUGGAUCUUGUCAUUUAAGAAAAGAUGAAAAUCAUGAUAAUAUUAAAUUUAAAAGAAGUAUAAAAAUGAAUUUAACUUGUGAUCUUAGAUUGAAUAGCUUUGGAAUUGAAGUUCAAUCACAAGAUGUAUAUGAUUGAUAAAUUCUAGAAACUUAGAUCUUGAGCCAUCAAACUUCUUAGAUAAGGCAACUCUUGAUUCUUUAACACUAGAAGGAUAUUCAACUAUAAGAAAAGGGAUGUAAUUCAUUGUAGAUGUUGAAGUGGAUCCAAUCAUAUAUGUAUCUUCACUUCCUGCCAUUUUUGUUGAAGAUACUAAAAAUAUUAAGAAUAUUAGUUUAGAAGAGAGUAAUCCACAACUUCUAAUACUCUUAUGUCUUAUCAAGAGAAAGAGGUAAUCCACUCUUAAUCAAGAGAAGACAAAGCUCUAAUAUUGUAAGUGUACUCUUAUCAAUCUAUCAAGGUCAUGGAUUUGAAGAAGAUGCAUAAACUUGGGAAAUCUAUAUCAAAAGAAAAGUGGAAAAAUAGCAAUAAAGUAGUAUGUAUAUUAAAAAGAAACUGAAAUGUCUAUUUCCAAAAAACAAGGAAAAUAGAAACUCAUGAAUCUAGACUAGAAGCAUGAAAGGAGUUGACAAGAGUGAAGAAGGCUUCAAUCUUACCUCUAUAUAUAUUAUCUAUAUAAGAUCUAUGUGGCAACAUUCUAUACGACAUCCAAAAACAUGUUGACUUUGCAUGACACAUAUCUUGAUUUGUAAAGCAAGUUUUUUAUAUGGCCAUGACAUUGUUAGUUGUUUUUGCAAGCUACCAGUACAUGUAGCACAUGGAUAGCUUCUUGACCAAGUUUCUAAUCUACCAAUCAAUUACAAACAUAUGUAAAGUCAACACAAUGUCUAAGAAGCUUUUAAAAAGUUUUUUUGGAAGAUAUUAUAAAAUUAAUCUACUUAUACCUAAUUCUACAUGUCUAGAUAAUGAUUACAAUACGUAUAUAUUUAUGAAAGACCGACCUACUUACUUCCUUCAAUUAUACAAUUUUUUACUAUAGACUCUAGACUUCUUCCAUAUGUAUAGGAAUAGUACCUCUAUGAUUCAUGUUAAAAAUACGUGAGAUUUUUAUUCUUAGAGUAUAAACUUCAAAUAAUCUCUAAGAAAUCCAAUCAAAUUUUAACCUAUCAAAAUAAAUUUUUAAAAAGCCACAAAAGAAAAAAAAAAAAAAAAAAAAAAAAAAACUAAAGAAAUACUAAAAAUAUAAAUUUUAAUAUAAACUUAAUUAAUAUCCUAAUUAAAUCUUAACCAAAUUAUAAGUCGAAUCCUAAUCAAAAUCUUGAUUGAAUCUUAAUCAAAUCUUAGGUCAAAUCCUAAUAAAAUCUUAAUAAACUCUUAAAUUCUAAAUCAAUCUUAGAUAAGUUUUGAACCAAAUUAUAAGAAAAUCCUAAUUCUAACCAAAUCCUAGACCAAAUUCUAAACCAAAUCCUAAUCAAAUCUAAGAUCUUAAACAAACUCUUAAAAAUUCCUACAGCAAAAUAGAAUUUCAACAGCUAUUGAUUAAAUUAUUGAUAUCAACUCAAAAUUUUCACACUUCUUAAUGUCUUAAUUAAAAACAAGCAAAAGAAAGAUGAAAUUGAUUGCACUUAUCAAUUGAGAGAAAUUCAAGAUAAUCUAAUUAGGUAUUGGAUGGCCUCCUACUCCAAUCUAAAUGUUGAAAUUUUAGUGCUAAUAUCUCCUUCUUGAACCAUUAAAUUGCUUUUAAAUUUUAUCCAAAUGUUCGAAAUUGAGUCUAAUAUCUAUACUAAAAAAAUUCACUUCAAUUCAACUAACAAAUUGCUAAAGAUCUUAUACACACUCAUUGACCCUCAAACUCCAAUUUUUGAGACCUCAAUCUACAAAAACCUUUAUAUACUUCAAUCUAACUAUUCAAUUGACCUUAAAAACUAGCACACCAAUACAUUGCCAAAAUUUCACCUAUACACACACCAUGGAAUUCAAAAAACCGUCAAAUUUGUAAACAUAUUUUUAUUUCUCAAAUUCUAAUUCCACCAAGAACAUCACUAAUUUUGAAAAUCUCUAAAAAUUCCAAUAUUGAUCCAAAUGACAUGAAACCAAUGCUUAAAAAUCUCUCCUCAAGUCUACUCUCAUAUUCCACUCUUUGAUCUACCAAAGAAUCUUAGAAUCACCAUAGGUGUACAAUUUUGAGCCUUAGGAUCUAAUUUUGACCUAAGUUGACAAUCGCUCUUCUCUAGAUAUCAAUUCUUUGCUUCUUGAGGUAAAUUUUGCUAAAAUCUACUCUUAAUUUCUUGCUACACAUGUUUAUAUCAUUUGAUUUUCCAAUUUACUUUAUUUUGGCUUGUUUAUAGGCCUACAAAGUAAAUAAAAGCCCAUUUUGUAAAAAAAUAGCAUUAUCACUUUUUAGUUUUACAAUCUUUUUUAUUAUUAUUUAUAUUUCUAAGAUAAUUUGCUAUAAUAUUUUAAAAUAAGAUCUUCUAUAAUGUAAUGUUUUCUUCUCUCUUUCAUUUAUUAGUUGUAUUACAUUACAAUAAUAUGUUGACUUUUCCAUAGCUUUACACAACAAAAAUUAUUUGAUUGCUAAAGCUAGGAGAGUACAAAGAUUGUGCUCCGACAACAAUUGCAAUUUCAACAUGGUGGUUGUUUCAAUCAAUGAUUCUUCAAUUCCAACUCCAAUUCCAAUGUGGUCAUUAAGUACACCUCUCAUGUGAUGGUUGAUAAUUUUGCAUCAAUAUUUGAAACAAUGUCAAUUAGCAUGCAUUGAUUGUUGAAUGAUCUGACACAUCUCAACUACAUAGGGAGAUGGCACCUAUGGUUCUUAAUUCAAGAAAAGAAUGUUUUGUGACUAACAUAGGAUACAAGAAGACAAAUUUUAUCCUCAAACAAGCCACUUCAAAAAUGCAACCUUAAAAAAUAUUUAUGCAUUGCUUCCAUUCUACCCUAAUAGCCUUACUAUUUUGCUAUGGCAUAAGUUGCUCCUUUGGCAUAGAAAUGCAUGGCAAGCAUUGGUAAAGCAAAGCAAAGGUCAAGGGAGUAGACAGUGGAGCAAUGGCAAAGUGAUAGAUGACAAAGUAGAUGCAUGUGAUGUAAGAGUUGUUAAUUUGUUUGUAAGGAGGUCCUUUGUGAAUUGACUAAUGAUAGCAAAGUGUAUGUGGCAUUUUCAUUGUGUAUGCAACAAUAGGCAAAGUAUGUGGCAAUAGGCACACUUUUUUACAAAGUAACAUAUACUAAUUAAUUGGGCCAUCUCACUUCCAGAGAUAAUUUAGGCAUAGGCAUCAUUGAGAUUUGAUAAUUGUGCAAGUGAUGGCAAGCUUUAGGGUUUGCAGACUGUGCUUUUGAUUUGCUCAUGAUUGAUUGUGUAUUCUAGUGCUGUGAUUACAGUAGCUUGCUGAAUCUAACGUCUCAUUUCAUCCAACUGAGAAUUUAUUUUUAUUUUUAUUCUAAACUUCAUCUCCUGACUUCAAUGAUAUAGUGAGUUGGGGUAGCAAGUGUUGGGUUUCUAAAGUUUACUUAUGGAUUUGUGAUUUUGCAACAAUUAGAAUGAAGGUGAGAGAUAUUAGGGUUUGGAGAUGUUUGUGUCGAUGGGUUUGCAGUGGGAUCAAAGCUGGUGCAUGCACGCAAAGUGAGGAUUCGUUUCUUUUUCUCAAAUCUUUGUAACCGUCGGCUUUGUAGUAUUCUUACUCAAAGCCACGUACCACGGUCUACAAAGCCGUCAUGCUCCUUCAUCGCGUCUCGCUGGUCGUUGAGAUUCUUGCUAACAAUGAGACGCAGGCAUCCCCUUGAGAUCACCAUGUGGAUCUUCCAAGGAUAGCCCUAGAUUUGUCACUUCAGAAGCCUGGCGUUGGGGAUUUAAGGCUCUGGGUGAUCUGUUCUGUUGAGUGGAUGAUUUUCGGGACUUGGAAGAUGGUGACCGAAAAGGAUGAUUGUUCAAAUGAGACACAGGAUCCGCUCAAAUUCCCACCACCGAAACUGCGAUGCCAAUCUCCCAAGUGUUGUAACCAGCUGAAAAAAAUUGAGAGAGGCUUGAGCGGACCUAGAGAUUACCAAGAUGAUCCGAGGGACCGCAGCAAGCUCUUGCGCAUCAACAGCUUGGCAUACUCCAAACCCUACUUGUUUCACCACAUCCAUGAAACGUAGAUUGCGACAUUUUCUUUCCACUAAUUAAAUGAGUGGCAUUAAACUGGGUCAGUGAUUUGUGGCCAUUGCAGACUCCGUUCCAAGGGGAACCCCCGGCGUUGGUCCUUCUUGAUACUUUUCUGACCCCAAAGCAUAUAUUUUUCAAGUGCAACCAUGGUCCUGUUGCAAAGAUUAUCGAUCCAUCCGAGUACCUCCCUUGAACUGCAUGAUUUUGUUCUUCAAGCAGGAUUAUUUGAAAGAAUGACAGCCUAAUACAAGUUCACACAGACACGGAGAAUACUCUUGGGUUCGACUGAAACAUGAUUUUGAAUGAUUGCUGAGGUUUUAAGGUGCUGACACAUUCAUGCAGGUAUGAAUUGAAGAUCUUUGGACUUCUCCCUAAGCCAACGACGCUCAGUCGAGACACCAUACUGUAACUAUAUUUUUCAUGGAUUCUUCAUUCAUGGGCUUACAGUCUAUGUUGGGAACACUAUGAAAAUAGAGACUUCAGUCUGAGAUUGCGAAACGGAAGUGUUAUUUGUAUUGAAUGCAAUCCCAGAACAAUUUAUGAAACGAAUAUAAUAGCUAGUAAGAAAACUCCGAAGCAUUUGUUGCAGUGCACUGAAUUUCGAGGAUUUGUUUCCAACCUCACACAUUCAUUCUCUGUUCGGUUUCGCAGUGCUAUGCCGAAGUCAAGAGUGCCCGUAACGCUGAUGGUGUAUCAACUGAUCACCAAUCCAUUUGAUCACUUUUCACCUCUCAUGUGCAUUCAUACGAUUGUUAUCAACUCUUCAAUCGUAUGCAAACUUCGGAUUCCAUAGCAACUCCCUAAUAUUGAAUGUUUUGGUCAUCCUCUAAUGUACAGGAUAGAUGACGACAAGGUAAAAAUAGUGUGCAGGAAACCGGAGGAUGGAAAUGUCCCAGUAUAGGGAGAUACCAUAAGUUCCUUCGAGCAACGCAGCCAUUGGAACCGGUAAUUUCCUUGAGCAGAUGCAAGGUCCAAGAGCCCAUCCAUAUAACCAUUGCAAAUUGUGAUUAACGAUCUGCAAACCAAAAAUUCCUUUUGAAUGCUACAGUAAGAUCAUGUGACUUUCUUGAACAAGCAACUUUAUGAGUGGUCAUUUCUGAUGCAGCGAUAUGGGGAGGAGUCAGACUUGCAGACGUUUUGAAAAUGCAAGGUAUCCCUUACCGCACUUUGGAGACAGGCGAGGGUGGCCGCUACGUGGAAUUUAUCAGUGUCGAUUACAUGAAGGUACAGAAGUUGGAAGAGUUUCGUAAAUUGAUCUGAAGAUCAUUCGCAAAUUUCUUAGGCAAUAGUCUAUUGACUGAACCUUUUUCUAUUCUCUUUCGUUUCUCAGGAGACACCUGAUGAGCCAUUCAAAUCUUCCAUACCGUUGAUACAUGCUACAACACCCAGAGCAGAUGUACUUUUGGCAUAUGAAAUGAACUAUGAGGUGCCAAGUUACUUUAACUGCCUUCUUCAUGAGUAGGAGCUUAAGCAUAAGUGAUAAGUUGUGCGUUAGAGCAUGCUGGGGAAAAUGUAUCCAUUAAUCCAUGUUCCAUGCAGACUCAUUGUGAUUGUCCACACAGGAUAUUCCUCGGGAGCAUGGGUACCCAUUGCGUGUGAUUAUUCCGGGUUGCAUUGGUGCUCGGUCUGUAAAGUGGUUGAAGGAGAUAAAAAUCUCGAAAGAUGAGUGCCAGGUUCAUAGCAGAAAUUACGAUCUUAUUGGAGUUAAAUUUAACUAGGUCAAGUUGAACUUUUCGUAUUAGGAUAGGAAUGAUCUGGAAUGGUUUUGCAACAAGAUUGCUAAAUUCAAUGUAUGUCCGACACACAGGGCUACUACAUGCAAAAGCAUUUCAAGCAUUAUCCACCACAUUUGGAGCUAGAUCCUCCAUGGGUAACCACGGUGGAUUGGUCCUCACGGCGUCCGUUAAUGGAAUUCCCGGUUCAAGUAUGAAGAGUUGGACACUCCUGCUCCCAGUAAAUAAGGUCUUCACUUCUUUGCUGCAAUUGCAUCUCUUGCAUGCUCAUGCAAACUGCUGUCUUGCGUUUUUUGGUUGGAUGUGGAUCCAGAGUGCCAUUUGCGUACCUCAAGAUGGCAUUUUCUUACCAAAGGGAGCGACGGUGAGUUUACUGCUAUCUUUUCACACUUGUAGUGGUAUCUGUGUUUGACGCUGCAGGGCGUAUUUAUAUGAAACAAUGGAUGAUGUAAGCAGUCUAGUCCUCAUCUAAACCAUUUCGCUUCGUAUGAACACAUAUUACUGUAAUAUUCACACACUGAGAUCUUGAUAUGUAUGGAUCUUAUUCCCUCUGUAGGACUGACCGUUGAAAGCCUCAUGAGAAUGCGCCUACAUUUGCAGGUUAACAUCAGAGGUUACGCAAUUGCUGGUGGCGGUCGAGCUAUUGACCGUGUUGACGUAUCUGUCAAUAGUGGUCAUUCAUGGAAGAGUGCUGAACGCCGGCAGGUCUCAUUUUCAGUUCCACGCAUUCCAUGUCCAUGUUGUGGGGCUGUACCACACAAGGUCGAAAUUUUUGAUGUAUUUGAGGCUGACGGCGAUACUGCACAGCUCUUUGAUCCACAGCUCUUGAAAUGGGCGUGGGUAUUGUGGAAGUGUGUUGCCCAAGUGUAUCCACGGACAGAGAUCAUUGUGAAAGCGGUAAUUUGAUGUGUACUCAACGGAUUCCUUGCUACUUGCUAAAUUUUGCAUAAACAUACAUCUUGUACAAAAAUAUAAAUAUAAAAUGGAAAUGUCUCUUACCCCGCGAGUAAAACGUCGUGCUCUCCUGUGUAUACAGAUUGACAGUGCCGGCAAUGUCCAGCCUCAUGAAAUAGACCAGAUCUGGAACUUCAGGGGUGUCAACAACAGCUGCUGGAACAGAGUGAAAGUCGAACUCUCAAAAGCAGGGUGUGUGCACUGUUUCCGGGAAACUUGUUUCUCUUGUUGCCUCACAGCCCUGGAUGUACUAACAAUUGGCCGUCUGUACACAAUGAUCGUAAGUUUCUUUUUUGAAUGUCCGUAUAAAUAAUGGCUCGGUGUUGGAAUCCAAAAACAUCUGCAUUUCAUUGAAAAUCGAAGCAGAAAAAAUAGAAUUUUGUUUUAUGAAAUCGGUUCCAAGUGCAACACUGUUGGUGUUAUGACGUCCUUGAUAGCAUGUACUGGCUGUUCUCGGCUUGUAUUGUCUCGUUUCACUCACAUUUCUCUUGCCAUUCUGUAAGUCAGAGCGAGGAUUGGUGAUACACUAGUAUUAAUUUGUGAUCCGGAGCGGAUACUUGGAUAGUUGGAUUUAAGUACAGCAUGCUCUUGAAAUCUCGCAGGGAAGAGAAGGGAAACGUCUGCCAUUGUCAAUGUCACAAAACCUUCAGUGGAGCUGCAGGCGUGCCCCAAUUUUAGGGCUGUUGUGGUAGUUGGAACUUCUCCAUCAAUCUAAAAGGAGGAAGAUGUAAUGAAUAAAUAUGACACUGAUAACAAAGAUACUCGAUUGACACAGAAAUGUAUUUCAUUAUCGUAGAUUAAAUUAGUCUAAAUUAAUAUUUAAUUUUAAAAUGCUUAAGCUUCAUUAAGAUGCAGGGGCUGACUCACAAAUAAUUUUGCUAAAACUGUAUAAUUAAGUGCACACAAUCUCAAAAAUCAUAAAACUCUAUUUAUUUUAUACGAAUAUUUGUGAUUUAUGGAGUUUUCAUAAACUAAAAAGUAAUUCACAUUAUGUGCAAAUCAGAAUAAAUCAAACCUCAAAAUCACCAUCUUAAUAAUGGAUAUAUUGUAUGUUUCAUACACAAAUAUAAAUUUUAAACUAUAUAUAUGUAUGUGGCUCUAAUCUGAUUGCAAGGAUGUCUUGGAUUAUGCAGCAAAAAGGGUGGUAGACAUAAAUUGAUAAAUAAGUCAUUGCUACCCCAAAUCACAAUCAAGAUUAUAUUUUUGAAUUCAUAAAUAUAGAAGCGAGUCUGCAAAAUAAUGUUUCAAUUUACUUUGUGUACUUUUCAGCAAAUAAGUACAACUCCUAAUUUUAAGAAAUGCAUUGUAUAUUUAAAAUUAUGAAUUUUUUAGUUGCUACUAUUUUAAAAAGAAUGAAUGGAUUUUUAAGCAAUUCAUGUAAAUUUUAUUUCUUUUAAUUUUUUUAGUUUCUUGUUUUUGGUUUAGAUCAAUGGGAGUUGAUGAGAAAAAAACAUUUGCCCAUGGUUGAACAAAAACCUCUUUAUUCAAAAACCAAGCCAACUCAAGUUUAUGAGUAACUUGUGACAAUGCCCUUCAAAACCCCGACACUUAACAAAUAACUCAUCAGGAGAAUUGAGUUGGCAUAUCAGUCGUCAAAAUUGUCAAUUUUGAUUGGAACGAUGUCAUCGGCAACUUCAAAUCCUCCAAUUACACGAGCAAAGAAUGUCAUCUCUUGCUCAAGUGAGUGACGAAUGUUCUCGGCCUGCAACCCCAGGCCCAUGAAAGUCAGUUAUUACAAGAUGGUUCAAAAUAUUUUAAGGUAACCAAUUAGCUUUAUGAAACUCGAAUCAUACUUGAGCCCUCAAGCAUGUUCACAAAAGAAAGGUGAUGCCUCGAAAAUCACAAGCAUCAAAACCCGAUGGACAAGUAAAGUGAAGGGACAAUACCUUCCGAAAUCCAUGCUGUUCCCCUUCAUAUUCAACAAGGGCAAUAGGAACACCCUUCAUCCUAGCUGCCUCAUAAAUCAUUCUUGCCUGGUUUGGUGGCACGAUCUGCAGCAACAAGGAAAUGUAGACAUCCUCAGACAAGACUCCAUGGAAUUCAAGCACCAGAAGACAGAUCAAUUAUACAGAGGGAGAGACGGUGGGUAGCUUACUUUAUCUUCAAGGCCCUGAAAUAGGAUCAUAGGACACGAGAGCUUCUCUAAAAAGUGGAUUGGAGAACGGUCAUAUGUGUUCUUUUCCAGGACAUCCUCAGGACCUGGAGGUCACCAAAGAAAACAUUAGAAACUCUCCAUGGUGCACUAAUAAUGAUACACGAAAUGAGAUUAUUCAGCAAACACGAAGCUAAGAUUCUUUAUCUACCUAGAAGCGGAGAUUGUGAAUAAACAAGCGAAUAUUUACGCAGUACAUUAUAUAAAAUUUGAAUCAUGCUAAAAUUGAAAUCUAGGAAAAGAGCAUACCCAGAAGAUUAUCCAGGUAACGAGAUUCGAACUUAUGUGUAUCUGAUAUUAAGCACUUCAAGUCACUUACCUGACAAAUUUCAGUGGACACAAGGAAGAUCAACGAGUUAUAUGACGAUCCACAUAACAAACGAUGAAGUUGUAACAUACUACUUGAAGAGCUUGAACAAGCUAGAAAGAAAAAGGAACUCAAGGAAGAAUUCAACAUAAAUUUUUUAUGAUGAAUCCAGAUCCAUCUUGGGCCCAUCCCAGUACAAGACUCGUUUCCAAAAAUUUGGAUUAUACAUAAAAACUAAUCGAAGGCAAUGUCAAGAGCGGUUAUGUUUACACUAACAGAUUUCCAUUCACUAAGUUCAGUUCAUACCCCAUAGAGGGAGGCUCCAGCAGAGAAGGUAUCCUUGAAUACAAGGGUGGCCAUCGUGGUAUAGCCACCUGCUGAGCGCCCGUCUAUGCACAAUCGCUUGGGAUCAACCUCCCCUAUUUUAGCCUAAAAUGCUCACAUUCGAAAACCCUUUCAGAAACAAGAGAACUAUAUUUAACUUAGGUAGUCCGAGUUUUCAUACCGAGAGCGUAUAAGACUGCCGAAACGGUACAAAAAUUUCAUAAGCACAUCAAAGAAAGAUGAUCCCUGCUAUAUUAAAUGUGAAAAAUUGCAAGGAUCAAGAGCAAAUUGAACAUGAAUACUGCUUCUAGCCCUGAAAAUUCUCAAAUGCAGGGUUUGGGGGGAUACCAAAUGCUCAGCACAGCUGCAGCAGUCGUUCACAUCAACAAUGCCCCACUGGCCAUUGAGCCGCUCUCGAUAAGCCCUUCCAUAACCUGCUCCAAAAUCUCUCGUCAAAAGUGUGACAGACUAGUGCUAAAGAAAACUAGAAUACCUUAACAUACCAACAUGCACAUAAUACAGCGAAACACUUACCUGUACUACCUCCAUAAUUUACGUCAGCGAAAGCCCAACCUCGGCUUGUCCAGUACUGAAUAGCAGGAUCUAGAGUUGUGCUUGCCUCCAAUGUCGGACCCCCUGUUACGGCAACACUUCAAGCUAAGCAGUGUAUUUGAAGAGUUCUCAGAUAGAAAAAUAACCUGAAACUCUCAAAAUGCAACUCCGAACGUCAAAGCAAUCAUAACAAACGGUGCAUUUUUCAAUGUAGAACAUGGCUUCAUCAGGUAAGUGAUUGACACACAAACACUGCGUACAUACCAUGACUCCUCACGAGUAAAGGUGGUCGCUCUCUGGAUGGAGCAACAAAGUAUCCAUUUGCAGGAGGGUAGAAGUUGGCAAAUGCUGUCUCUCCUUCUACUUUAGUUGCAAACUCUACAACCCUCGGAGUACUGAAGUAAGGCUUGUACGGCUCUAGGUCAAUACCAAGCGACGACCACAAUACUGUGUCUUCACCAGCGCCCGCUUUGCCUUCUGCGAGGCAAACCUACAACCAAUCGUUCUUUUAAGGGAAAAAAGCACGCCACCUUGACUCAUAGUCAUACAUGUCUUCAGAGACAAAUAAACAAAAACACUAUGGCAUCGCAACGGUAUCAUAGAUUACCAGCAUAAUUCAAAAACACGCUGAAGCAAGAUACAAACCUUCACAAAUCCCUUAACAUUGUGAGUUCCAAGAUUAGCACGUUGAAACAAAGACUUAAAAUGAAUCCUAGAGAACCAAUACCAUCCAAGGUAUACACAUAUAUAUAUUUUCAAUAACUUCCUCACCUUCACAAUAGAGAGCGUGUCGGUGGAUGACCCAGCGCUGAAAUACACUUCAUUACCAUGUACGAACUGUCACCGCCACAUCACAAUGAAGACCUCCAGUCAAUGGACAAAGUUUCCCGAUCCAUGAAAUCAGCAUUGAGAUACAAACCAAUCCACCAGAACUAUGCACUUACUCAUCGAAGCCACCUAACUUAGUGCGUCUGAUGUUAAUAUAACCAGGAUUUAAAGAAUUGCUGAAUAAAUACCUCAGUUACUCUCAAUCUGAAUAUAACAAAAAUAAUAAUCACAUGCUAUACACCACUCUCUGGUACAUAUUGAAGACAUUACCAGAUUGUAGAUGUCGGUGAAUCUUGUCUUGACAGGUGACAAUGAGCCGGAGGAUAGGUCAAACGUAGCUAGAUGAGAAACACCUCGUUGUCUACAGAUGGAAAAGAAUCUCAUCAGAUGUUUCAAACGUACUCAUCUAGGUACAAUUACUUGUUGAGCGCGAUGCCCUCCCGAAAUCAAAUUGUACACAAUUUUCAUCACAGAUCUCUGAACCAUUUAGUUAAAACGUGUGAAGCUACGUUAGGAUUUUUUAGUUCUGUAUGAUAGAACCACAAUGAGGUCCAGGACCAAAAAUACUUUUCACUCGAACUCUUUAUGACAAAUUGCUGCUAACAGAAAUAGAAUCCGGGGACAAAACUGGGCACGAGAUAAAAACCUGUAAGCGCAUACAAUCUGAUCUCCAGAAUCGCCAAAAAAACCAAAUGAGGAGAUACCAAAAAUCCAGGCUGGUCUUGUAAAUUCAGCUUCCAUCGGACACAGAGAUUGCACCUUUCCCCCGACACUCUGAUCACCGACCAAUAGAAACUUCACUUUACAAAUUGAAUCUGUUGCAAUCAGCGCAACAAUCCUAGUGAAAUGUCAAAGCCAACGUUUCAGAUGUUCAGUGAAACGAUAGAAAACAAUGUGAACUUUCAAAUGAAGUAAAAUAUACCCAGGAAUAGAGGUUCCAAAAUCCGUUUCCACGAUCUGAGACAAAGAUCAAGUCACCUGACAGCACCCAGAAAGAGAUACAUUUAAAAAGGUGCUUUACCAUAAUUGCUACGACAUAGAGGAUUUCGAUUUCGCAAAAUGUUACAGCCUGUGAAAGCAAAAGCGUGCCAAACCUAAACGAUUGAACUACAAUAAAGAAUGACAAUACUCCAGAUAUAAUUGAGAACAUACCUUUGGGUGACCAUUGUGGUUCAGAGGCCGACUCCACGACGCCCUCAUCACCUCCCGCUACACAAACUGGAUUUGUUAUGCUCCUGUAUGCGCGAGCAUGAAAACAAACACCGAUUGCUUCAUUUUCGUGCACGCGUGAUACACCACCAGUAAAUUACUAGCAAACCAGAAACAAGAUCUAGGACUGCAUUUAUCACCAUAUCUACUUCGCUGCAUAUUCAUACAAGCAUUUAGCAAUUGACUCAGGUGUGGUAUAACAACCAGAGUCAACAUACAACUGUAAGUCAUCAAUACACAAGAAACUACCAGCAAAAAUUGCAGCCUCACCCGUCAUCUGAAACUUUGCCAACCCAAAUAGAUGUUCGAUCCCAAGGCAUAUUAGGGUGAGACCAUUCCAUCCAAGCAAGCAUCUGACCAUCUGGACUCAGUCUUGGGAACAUGUAGAAGUCCUUGCCUUUCACAAGACUCACUGGUUCUGAAACCAAACACCGAGAAACAGAUUUGCACCAAUUCAGUAUGAAAUAUCAUGAUGCAGCCAGUAACAUUCAAAGGACUAGUUCUUCCGUCAGCUACAAUUCACAACGAAGGAGCCAUCCAUAAAUCACAUAGACAAGCACAUGUGUCCAUAUCACCAGAAAAACGACUAAACUAAGGCUGCAAGAGAAAUUACCAAGAUUAGCUUCGCCAUUGAGGGACACGGCUGCAAUGUCGUUGACGGGUUCAACCCCUUCCUGGCGAUAAUCUGCAUGAAAGAAUAAGCAUCCAACACCACAUUCAAUGUUAAAGCUUCACGACAUUCAAGAAGUACCAAGUCGCUAACGAAACAGUUUCAGAUCAAAGUCAUGAUUGUGCUGGUGGAGGCACUCAUGUCAUGCCACGUAUUGCCCCCGCAUCAACAGAUCAAUGUCAACUGCUACUAGCUUGGUAUCGACUAGCCCAAAUGCAUCGCAAAGUGAUCACCUUCCCGCACUACGAUAAGACGAUUGAAUCUUCCGUCAAAUAUUCCAUCUGCAUAUCUUACUGCUUUAUUCUCGUACGCUGGAGUUAGUGGCAAUGGAGUGCGAUCUGUCCACAUAGACGGAAAAAAAUAAAAAAUUCUGAGUGAUUGGAAAAACCGAUAGAUAGUAUCAUGUUCUGAAAACUAAUUGGAUCGGGGAGUUCUGAAAGCUUACUGAGAUAGUGCUAUAUAUUGUAAGCAGAGAUAUCAGACGGUUGCAUGUGCACUGAUUGAAAGUCCAGGUUAGAAAGAAGUGUACCACCCCUAAUCGACUGUUUAUACAACCUCUGGUCUGCGUAAUUGGAGAAAACUACAUUAUCCCUUUUAACUGCAAAGGCCCCUCCGCCAUACUCAUGCACUAGGGUGCGAACGUUAAAACCAGGUGGAGUAAUUUCCUCCGGAAAGGAUCCAGAUUGGGCUCCCUCCCACAUUAACACCCCACGCCUGCGAUUAAGCAAAAGGAAAUUAGAAUGUGGGCAUAAGAUUUAAAACAGCAGCAUCUCACCCAACAAUCAGUGCUCGUUGAUGGAAAUUUCUCGAAAUUGUGUAAAGCAAUAAAGCACAGAAGCAUUACAUUGAGAAACUGUUAGGCGUAGGAAAACGUAUCAAAUAACACGCACACAAGAUCCAAAUUUUCAGCUCAGUUCUUGACCCUAACUCCCAGACUGCUGCGCGACGUUUGGGGUGAUAUCGAAUCAACGCUCUGAGCAAGAGAAAGUUAAAGAUUCAGGGGAUUGCUAACUAACCCAGCUUCAGAAGGUCGGCCUUCGAGCCACACCAACCGGCCGUCAGAAUCAACGGCAGCCCCUCCCAAGCGCUUCGAUGACCCUGACACAAAUUCUGCUGUCAACGGAGACUUCCAAGCUCCGUAUGGAGUCUCGCAUUUUGUUUGCCCCAUUUUCGCAGUAGCACUAGUGCUUACGGAAUCUGCACUCCACAAAGUAAUAAGCACAUGACCAAACGCUUGCUCUCCUCAAUGCACAUCACGCAACCCAUUCAAAUUCCCAUGCAAGCAAUUUGCGCAUUUUGCACUAAAAUUCCAGCAGAACGAAACGCAGGCACCAAAAAAUAAAAAUAAAAAUAAAAAAAUCAAAUCCACCUUCGUCUCCCUAUACGUACUCAUAACUAAUUCACAACUGCGAACAGAACUUCACUACUUGACGAUCAAGAGGGUGAAAGAUACUUCACCUCUCUCAUUUCUCUCAGAACUGGAAGCAGACACGACAAUGGUGCAACUUCCUCCUUGACUAGCAAAUUGGCUAGGAAAGGCAAAAAACCUGCGCCCAAGAAACGAAGGAACAAAAGCGGCCGAUCUUAACGACUGUGAGGGAGUCGCAGUGAUGCCCAAACGACGAGCUACAACAUGCAACGAUCCCGCAGUGCUCACUGUCAGCGACAUUGCUCUGAUCUUCGCUGGCACACUCCCCAAACUCAAGUUUCUCACACCCUCUGCUCCAUCCUCUUCUACCCUAAUUCAAUUUACAAUUCUAUCAAUCCUUGUACCGUUUUUCCCGUAAAGAACUUAAACAAACCAGUUGCAGUGGCUCCUCCUCUUUCAGACAACAACUUCACUAAGAAAAGUUUAGAAAAACUAACCAACCUCACAGCAGCCUUGAAUGAAUGUUGGUAGGACAGCACACCUACGUAAUUGCAAGCGUUUAGUGUUCAAUGGCCUGCUAUCGAGACAGUUCCGAUGCAGUUCCGAUGCAGUUCCGAUGAUUUGAGAUGCCCGAGAUUAAACUCAAAUGGCGAAAUAUUUAUACAAGGUAGCCGACCCAUUGUCCACCACCCCCAUUUCCAAACAUAUAAGGCAGGGUAUUUUCGUUUUAUAUAUAAAGCUGGAUAUUUUCGUUAGGUUUGUAACCCAUCACUGAUUAGAAUGGCUUACGUGUCAGAAACGGGUUGAAGACAAUCUUCAGCUAAAAAAUUUAUAAAAAUUCUGUUUAGGGGCCAAAUUGUGUGAAAAUAUUUGGAAUUCUCAUCACGUGUACGGGGCAUUUUUUUUUAUUUUUAAACUUACUGCAAAUAUGCAAAAUAUGAUGAAAUACUUAAGUUAUUGAAAAUGGGUCGUCUACCAUAUCUCAAACUUUGGCCACCCAUUAAUAAAGAUAUUUCUAAUUGAAGAGGAAAAUGACAUUUGUCCCUCCUACCGCAAUGAAUCUUUUUUCGUUGAUAGACAUUCAUUAUGGGUUUUUUUUUAAAUGGUAGACAUUCAUUGUAGAUAAGAUGAUCCUGCUCGUGGGUUUUCGUUGCGAUGAAGAAAAUAGUGAGUGAGUGAGGAACUCUCGGAGCAUCCUCGCAGGCUUGUUUUUCAACUCGGGGAAGCUAGCAUUAACCGGAAUUUCAAGUGCCGAUUUUCACUCGCACAACCUUCCUUGACAACUGAGCGCUACACGAGCAAGAAGACGCUGGGGUUUCAGUUGGGCACGUACCACGGGAUUUUAUGGCGAAUUUCAACAAGUUGAUGACACGGACUAAUAUAGAGCGGCUAAAUGUGGGCAAGGUUGUGCUUUCAGGGUACAACGGUGACCAUUGCCUUACUUUGAUAAUAGAGGGCAAAUCAGGAACCAUGAAUUUUUGCUGAAUGUCUGUGUGCAACGGCGGGCGCAACGUGCAGCUCGAGAGCAGUGAACUGCUGAACCCGAUUUUGAAAAGUUUUGGAAUGUUCGAGGAGUUUUCGCAGUAAUACACAGAAGCUGGCAGGACUCUCUUGAGCAUUGGAUGUCUGUGGUUGGUGUUGAAGAAAGUUGGGAUGCUGAAGGUUGUGAAGACGUCGAAUUCUCUCACAUUCAUUGUGUAGGAUCAUAUUCCCUUGUUAGUUGUGGACGUUGGGAGAACGAUUAUUAUCUUAUUUACAAGAUGAGACUGGGUUUGGAGAUAGUUAGAAUUCCAGAUUAGUAGCUCGCGUGCGGCUGGGGGGAGCGAAGGGAUUUGAGAAUUUUGGGGAGCUAGUUAUUCCUGAUUUGCAACAAGUUCAUGUCCCCGAGGCUGCAGUCUUCCAGUGUUGUUGGUUGGACUGAGAACCAAGAACGUCACAGUUCUAGUAGUUGAUGUACAUCAUAAUAGAUGAAGCUUACGUAUCAUGCUAUGCAGAUGUUCUUCGAGGAAUUAGAUUUAGUACUGCAUACAAAUUUUAUGACAAUGCCGUCUUGCGGUUUCCUCAGAGUGCACAAUCCUACGACAUGGCAGCCAGAGAUACCUCGCACACCAGCUUGUUGCAGUCUACGUGGUGCAGGAAGUAGAUUGCGUACUACGCACUAAAACAAUUUUGAUUGUUGAUAGUUCCAGAUUUGCCCUGGAACUUACUUUGAUAAUACUGCAAGUACUUACUCUCAUGCAAGUGAGCUAUUACUAGUUCGGUACUUAUCUCAAUCAAACUGGAGAAAUGCUGUAAUCAGACCUCUCACUUGACCACUUCAUUUCCACGUUAACACACUCAAAUUCACCGCAUGCUCGUUUGUGUACCCGAAUAUAAUGAGUACAAUUGCAUUUUGAAAAUCAAUGCAACAACAACCAGAGAAAAAAAUCAAAAAAAAAAAAAAAAAAAAAAAAAAAAAACUUAAUUAGCCUAAUGCCAUUUUAAACAGAAUGGCUCCACUGUUAAUUACGACCAAGAGUCGAGAAGAGUUUUGGCCUUCCUCUACUCUCAUAAAUUCGUUUCUGCUUCUGUAAUUAAUCUAGUCCCAUUCAGUGCCCGGUUGAGGGCAUCAACGAACUCAACAUCUUUUGCAGCUGAGUUUCCAGCAAUAUUCAGUUUCUGCCAACACAAAUCCUCAAAGACAACUUUGAUCUCCCAGUACCUACCUUCCUUGAGGUGCCACUCUGCACGAUCUGAUUUCUGACUGGAGGCAGGUGGUACAAGACUAGCAUUUAUGAGUUUCGAUGAGCACAAAACUCUACAUGUAUCUACGGUAUGGUCACCGAUUUGGUUGUAUGAGACAUCGACAUCCUCAAGCAAAGGAAGUCCCCUUAGUGGCGCUAGUGCUGUUACACUACCAAUCCGGUUGUGACUCAGCGUUAAGUUGCUCAGUAGUUGCAAAGCCUCUAGUCCUGUACGAGGGAAGAACACAAAUAAAUUCAAAACACGUAAAUGAUCACGAAGGUUGAAACCUGCGAUUGCACGAGUUAGAGAAGGGCCUCGUUAGCAACAAAAUACAAUCCCUGUAUAGAAUUAGCUGGAAGACAAAUGAGAAGCUAUUACCAUGAGUAGAUCGCAACUGAUUAUGACUUAGGUCCAGAUUUUGAACCCAUAAGAAUCUAUCCGCGAAUUCCAAGGAGCACAGUGACAAUUGAUUCAACUUGAGCAGCCCUUCUCGCACAUAUUUCCCAGCAAGAAUAAAUUCGUCCAUUGUAAGCUGGAAAUAAUCACCACCCACACAGGUUGAAUAUGUAGUAUUUCCAUUUCAAGGAAAGGUCCACAAGGAAAGCAUGUUGCGAAGACCCACUUCAUUGCACACAUAAAUGGACCAACGGAAUAGCCAACAGGUUCGUCAUCUUAAAAGUAACUUCAAUCUGUGUUUAUUAACCUGAAGAUUUUGAGGAUCUCCAAAAUAGUAUCACGUGCUGCAGUACCCUAAAGGUCACAAAACUUUGAGUGAUGUAGAGCUACUGAUGUGCAAGUCGGCAUGUUGAACAGAAAACAAUUUCUCACCUCUUUCAACGAAAGCAAGCUCAAUUGAUGCUGGUAAUACUCUUGGUGGGUUGGAUCCAAGCACUUCAGCAUUUCCAAAUGCUUACGUGCUUCAUCUAUAUGACUUUUCAGAGAAGAUGUGUUGUAUGAGGCAUGUGUCAAUAAUAAUCUUGUUAAAGUCAGCCUUGUCCACUUGCUGGGAAACAGAAGGAAAAAAAAAUAGCCGCUUAAAUAAGUCCACAACACAGUAAACAUGAGACAACAGUUGUAAUUGUUUUUAUGACUCACAUUGACGUUAUAACAGCUAACUAACUCACAACACAGUAGCUGUAUAACAGGAAUCAGAGGUAUAAUUGGAGUAAUCUACCCUCAGGACUAUAAGAAGCUGGAGAUUUGAAAAAGUUGACGAAUUAGUCGUUAAGAAGGAUAUUGCAAGCUAACUACCUGAACACAAAGUUACAAUGCAUUCCACCAUGAACAGAUGCAGGAGCACAUAAUUACCUAUUCUCUUCCAGAUCAAGAAGCUCCCGACAUGAUUGAAUUUCUCUGUCCAAUAAGCCCAGCUGCCAAAUCUUUGUUCCAUCUGCCUCUUCGUUGUUUGAACCCGAAUGAUUUGCUACCGGGAACAAGUAUUGUAAAGAAGAUGGCGAAUCCACGAAAGUGCGAGAUCUUGACUGCAAUAUGCUUUCACACAGCUGAUCAUACUUAUCUGCGUAGUCUUCAAAAGAAGAUGUCUCUUCAAAAAGAACUUGAAAGCUUGACUGCCACGAACGCUCACAAGCUUGACCAUCAAGAGAUGUGAUGCCUGGAACUGCACCCACCAAUAUCUUGACUGAAGUUUGUCCACUGCUUGAGGAUAAACAGUUUUUAAUAUUUGUAGUCCAUUUCCGGCCACUCUUCUGCCAACGCUCAACAGGCCUCCAUUCAAGCUCCAAAGAAUCAUUUCCAUCAACAGUGGUGGAAACAGUUUGGUCGUUUACACCGGUCACAGAGUUGCUAAAGCAAAUCACCACUGGUAGGGUUUCCAAUUUCCCCACCUUGAGUUUAUUGAAUGGGAGUUUGUACGAAUUGUUCUUCAAAUCGAUUACAAUCAAAGACUUCGGAGGAGGCCAGCAGCCACUAACAUGUGUGCCCACUGGAGCUAUAGUUUGCCCGAGUAGCCAAGAAUAGUAGAACCAUCCACUCUGAUCAUCUGGAUCGGUGUAGAAAGAAUUCUUCACCAACUCGUACUCCUCUUGCAACCUCUCUUGCACUCUGCCAUUUUCUGCAGCUUCAUUCUUGGAUAUCUCCGACAAGAGAGCACUGCAGAAAUCCUCGACGAGACAGAUUCUUACAAGUCAAACGAGGUGUUGUGGCACCAAUUCUGAAAACAAAAGUCACACUCGCAAGGGCACAGUAUGAAUCGCAGCCUAUGUAGAACUAAACUAAACGGGUGAAGAGCGGCACUAGUACAAGAAUCAUGCGCAUAGUUGCUCACCUACGAUUAUGCCAAGCCGAAUAAUUGCUGAAAUUCUCAUUGAUUUUAUCUGUGGUGAAAAGCAGCUCAUCUUCAACAGCAACUCCCUUAGUCUUUGCAACAAAUCUGUGAAAAGUGGUCAAGAAGAAACUUAAUCGAGUGAACCAUCGACCUAAAAACCGCCCUUGAAAUCAGAACAAAGAAGGCGAUGCUCAAGUAUACUGGAUUAACUACCGUUACAAGAGAGAUGACCGUGACUAGAAAAGAAUUCCUACGAUAUAAUGUACUAUGCAGGGAUAAGUACCUCCGAUAGUCCCAACCAUGAAAGUUGCGAGCAUCUAAUUUGAGCAGCUUCUUCAAUAGAAGAAAUUCAGCGUCCAUGGGCGAGAGACCAAACUGAAUGACCCACUUGCGAUGGUACCAAGCCCCAUAUGAUUUGGGAUUCACUCUCAAAGCUCUGACUACCUGCCCCGCACACCCUCAAUCCUGAUCUUCAUCACCUCCACCCAUUGACUCUCCUGGCCUCCAGAAAAUGACCUAAUUCAGACUUGAAACCCAAAGGUGACUUACAACAAUGAAACCCGCAAUUGCGAAACGUAAAUUUAGGGUAAACUAGAUGGCAAUACCACAUCAAGCUCUGUCUGCACUAUCCGCUUGCGAACCUCCUCAUCCGACUCGAGAUUCAACAAAUGUCGAACAGCGCGCUUACGAUAAUUCCAAGCCGAAUAAAAUUCAGGAUUGAGCUCCAACAGUCGCGCAUUUUGGUCCAAGGCUUGAGAUGAGUAGCUGCGCUUCACACGAGAAUCACAUGAACAUCUCUCAUUCAACCCCAUCACACAACCAAAACCCCACAAAAUCCUUUACAAGCCUCUACUCGGGGACAAUAAAAUCAAUCCGUACCAGCACGUGCGAUUAUUCUCCAUGAAAAGAGGUAUGAUUUUCUGAAGUUCCGCCACUUGGGCCUGCUCUUUCUUAUUGACCUCAGGCGGGGGCGUUUCCCCCGCCCGCUGCCGUGGCCGACCGUGCAUUCUUGCUGCUGGCCUUCAACCCUCUCCCACCCUCUUUCUCCCUCUCGAUCCUUCCACACCCAGAUCCCGUGCUACCCAAAUUAUCACCUCUUCAGAAGCGUCCACUCUGCAAGAAUCGAAACAUACCUGAGCAAGAGCCUAACUCGAUCGACCCAACUGGUUAAACAAACUCCCUUAGAGUGUACGCAAAAGAGAGUAUAGAAAAAACACACAAUCCCCAAGGACUAAAGCUUUGCAUGUAAGGGAGACGAAUCAGGCAAAGUCGGCGACACAGAUCUCCGCUAGCAUUCAAUCCUGCACGCCAUUCUGCGAUACUCUCGUUUGCAAUCUCGGCGAACUUAUUCACCUUCAAGGGGGGCUGGUUCCCGAAGCAAGCACCAUUUCUAAUAAGUCUACGUUAAUUACUAGAAAGUGUAGAAUCUAAAAAUUCUACGAAUUUGAGUCAUGGAUUGAGGAGCACACACUGUGUGCGUAUUGUUGAAAUCUACGCAUUUGGUUCUGACAAUCUUUCAGACUUCGAUGCAUGACGGAUUGUUGCUUUGGUUUUGUAAGAAAUAUAUUAAUAGUUAUAAAUAAAUUUAUUUAUAUGUUUUAAAAAAUAAUAAUAAUCAUAUCUAGUAUCAGUAUCUAAUAAUCCUAUUAAAUGAAUAAAAACGUGGAUAAGGUUGUGAGGAAGGUCAAUUUAUAUGAUAUGUAAUUCUCACUCUAAAAUCUUGCAAACAAAAUUUAUUCUAAAAACUUAAUGAAGAUGAACAUAAUUUUUUUGUAAAUUAAAAAAAUCAUUGAAGAAUUCGUAUUUUCAAUUUCAUAAUCUAAAUCAAUGUAUAGAUAGUAUUAUUCAGAUUUUUAUUUGAAGUUAAAUAUUUUUAUUAAAGUUUUGUUACAACUCAGAUGUCAUCUAAUUAUUUUAAUUUAAAACAUCAAAUUUUAAUUUUCAGAUUUUAAGUUUUAAAUUUGAAAAAACGAAUGAGUAUAAUUUUUAGGAUUAAAAAUUUCAAUCUUUGAAAAAUAGAUACUUGUGAUGUAUCUUAUUAUCUAAAAUAUACCAAAAUAACUUAUCUUUUAGAAAUAAAGGAUUUUUUUAUUUUGGAUAAAUAUGCAUGACAUGUAUUAACUUGAAAUUAAAUAUAAAUAUACAUACAUAUAUUUAUAUUUAUAAUAUAUUUAUGAUAGAAAUAUUAACAAUUUUUUAGAAUGGAAUAAAAAGAUAAUGCAAGUUGUGGUGGCAAUAGUAAAAACCAUGGUGGGAUUAGCAACACUUGAUUUUUUGUUUUAUCGGUUCUUUUCUUAAAAAUUGAAAUAAGAAUGAUAAUAAUAAUAAUAAUAAUAAUAAUAGUUAAAUAAAUAAAGACAUAAUGUUUUUUAUUAAAAUAAUAUAUAGUUAGAGUUACACAUAUCCAAACUCCUCAAAUAUAGAACAUAGGCAACAUUUUCCAAUACUAAGUAAUAUAGAAUACAAACAAAUUUCAUAUUUUUUAAAUAACUUUAAUAAAACGAUUUACAAAAAAUCAAAUUGGAUUUGAUAAAACAUCUAAAUUUAAUAUGUAUAUCAAAUAAAUAAUAUAUAAAAUAUUCUUAUAGUUUUUUAAAAAUUUAUAAAAAACAAUAUAUAUGUAUUUAUUUAAUUAUUUUUAAUAUAUAUAAUCUAAUACAUAAUAUGAAUUUUAGAGAUUUGAUUUUUAGGUGUUUUAAAGCUUUUAUUUUAAAUUUCGAAUAUAAAUUUUUUCAAGUCAUAAUUACAAUAGAAAUUCUAAAAAUUUUAAAAUAUAAUUUUUUAUUAAUUAUAUAAAAGUUGAGAAUAGGUAAAUAUUUUAUUAAAAGGAAAUAUAUUAUAAAGACAUCAAAAGUAGGAUUAAGAUCAAAACUUAAAUCAAUGGCAUACAUGUAUUAAAACAUGAAUUUAGACAAAUUCACUAAUAAGCUCAAGGAUAACUUUAUUCUUUUUUUUUUUUUUUUUUUUUUUUAUGUAUUCUAAUUACUAAAAAAAAUCAUGUAUUAGCCUCUUGAGGAAUAGAGGUUUGUUGGCUAAAUAUCUAACUUCUAUAUACUUUUAGAAUAGAUUUAAAAAAUUAAAACAAACCUCUCUAAGAAAUUUUUAUAGCCAUUCAAUACAUCUUAUAAUAUAUAAAGAUACAAUUUGAAACUAAAGAGCUUUUUUAAUAUUUCUUGAUAAAGAUAAAAAAAAUUAAUAAUUUUUUACAGACUUCUAAUCAUUUAUCUUAACUUUAAUUUUUGUAUUUGAUAUUGUAUUGUCUUGUAAGAAUUUUCAACUUAUAAGUUGCAUCUCUAGCUGAUAAAAUUCAAUUAUGUUAAAAUGUCAUUUUCUAAAACUUUGAUAAAUGUUUUACAAAACUUUGAUAAAUGGUUGACCAACAAUUUUGAAAAUUAUAGUAUCUAAGAUAAAUUUGAUGAAUGUACAUUAUUUGUUAUUGAUUAGUAAAGUUUACAAAAUAACUUUUAAUGUAUAUAAGAAUGAUUUGAUUCUUGAAUUUAUUUAUUUAUUUAUAUCAUUACAUAUAUUUUUUGAUUUUAUGAAAUCUUAUUAUUAGUGGUUGGUCUUUAGUUUCAAUAAAUGUUAAUAUUUUAAAAAAAGUAUAUAAUUUUGGUAGAUGUAUAGGAUACUUAAAAUACUCUUGUGUGAACAUAUAUAUAUUAUAUUUGACCCAAUAUAAUAGUAUUCUAAUGAAUUUAAAAAUCAAAUUAAAAUUAAUUAUUUUUUCUACUUUAAAUUUUUAAUUUUUAUGAAUUAAAAUAUAAGAUAAUGAUAGUUCCUUUUUUUUGGCAUAUUUUUUAUUUUGUAAAUUUAGAUUCCACAAAAAUAUAAAAACAUGUUAAAUCUAAAGAUAUUAAUUUUAGUAAUUACAAUUCAUUUUCAAAUAUAUCAAUUUAUUUUUUAACUAAAAUUAAUCUCAAUCUUAUGUGAUCCCAAUUCCUAACAAAGUCAAUCAAUCUUAAUAUUAUUAAAAAAUAUUUAUGCCUCCUAACCAAAUUUGAAUGAAGAUUACUUUGUUAAAAAGAUACUUCCAUUAUAAGUAUUACUACUAUAAUUAGAUGUUGUGUUCAAAUUAUUUUAGCCCCAUCUUUACAUUUGUGAAAAACUGAAAUAAUCUUCUUGCCAACUUAUUAUUUUAUUGAAAAUUACCAAUAUUUACAAAAUUUGGAUCAGUAAUUUGUGGGUUAAUAAUCGUAAUUGGGAAUUGAUGUUUAUUGAAUUUUAAAUUAAUGGUGUGACCUCGAUAGCGAAUUAUAGUGCGAAAGCAGAUUGCAAUCUGAAGACAAGCAAGUGACGAAGACGCACAAAGCCCUAAACUGGAGAGCCCCCGUGGAGCAAUUGACGGAUUCGCGGUGCGGCCCCCAUUUGUCCCAUGCAAGUCAUUGGAAGCAACAAUGGCGUUCUUGCUGAAUUACGUUGGGAGAACAGACGAGAAUGCGUGUGCGAAUCGGGGACGAAUUUACGCUGUUCUGGGUCCAAAUCGCAAGACGCGGAGAGUGCCAGAACCGCCUUUGCCCUCGAGAAUCUCUGCACCAAAGAGUGAUGUUAGUGCGGAUGGUAUGAUCCCGUGCGCUAGAAAUUCAAGCAUCAUGCUGGGCCAAUACUGCUGCACAACAAUGCACGAAUUGCGAGGUAGGUGUUGAGCCUGGUAGCGCACCCUUGGCAACAUUGCCGUCAUGCGCUCACUGAAGCCUGGGACGCACACUGCUCAAGAAUCUUAUUCAGUUCUGCAGAUUGUUGACAGUCAGUCCUGCUUGUUAAAUUGUAAUCUGCAAGCUGAAUAUUCAAGAUUAUAAAUCUCUGGUAUUUAAGAAUCUAUGAAACGUUCGUGACCGAUUUCAUGUUCAAAGCAAGAAAUAGAGGUGAGUCGCGCUUGACAUUAUGUGCUGAAACUCAAAUCGUAAACCGCCGCGAUUGUGAAGUGCAAGUGCCUGAGAACUCGUGGUUUGAACUGAUGGGUAUUGCUGGAUUGCAGGGAAAGAUUGGGGCUACUUGUCAACCAACGCUCCCUUGAAGUCUCCGAGCAGACCGAGUUCAUCUGCUUGUAUGCCAAUAGGGUUUUCCAGGUACAACCAUCGUAAGAAACAAUCCCAACUGCCUUGUGAAACCCUAAACUAGGCUUGGUCCCACCUACAUCAUUUUCUUUACAAGUCUCAUGUCUUUUUAAUUUCCAUCCUUUUUCUGACAUGCAACAUGAUAUGUUUUGUUUUGUUUUGUUUUUUUUUUUUUCCUCUUUUUUUCCCACAAGAUUUCUUGUUGCAGUUAAGGAUAUUUCUUUUCAACAUCGCAUUCCUUUAAAACAAUAAAUAAAUAAGUCAUGUUAGCAAUUAUUUUGUGAAUUGUAAAAGUUGAUAAGACAUAGGUUGUUGCUAAAAUGAAUGUUAUGAGCAAUUGGAUUUCAAUCAAGUUGAUUUAAUGGUUCGAAAAUGUUAUUAGCAAUUUAAUGUUAGCAAUUAUAUAUUUAAAAAGUGUCUAAAAGUGACAUAGAUUAUAAAUUAAAGAAAAUUAUAGUAUUUAUUUUAUUACAAAUUUUGUUCAAAUUCAUUAACUUAUAUUGUUUUUAUAUGCUUAUGUGAUUUUUUUAAAAUUAUGUCAAUUAUUUAAGAAAAUGUUGAUCAAUAUUUUUUGAGUUUUGACUAUUGUGUUCAAUUCUUUUUUUGCUUAUAUAUAUAUAUAUAUAUAUAUAUAUAUAUAUAUAGAUUUUUUUUAUACUCAUAGAUAGCUUUUUUUCGGUUCAACUUAUCAUUUUAUUCCUUGACUUUGGAUUUCUUUGUAAUUGUCUCAUUAUUGGUACUCAUAUUGUUCACAUUUUUUUCUUUUGUCAAACUUUUCUUCCUUUUUACAUAUUUUGACUAAUCUUUUGAUUCACUUUUUCCAAUUUGGUAGUCUAUUCCUUGCACUUCUUUUUGUGUUGACCUAAAAUUCUUUUAUUAUGUGAUUUAAUAUUAUUUUUUAUUCAUCAUUGCUAUAUUCUUUAUUUCUUAUUUAUCUUUCCACUAGUUCUUUACUCAAUUCACUUAUACUACAUUUCUUUGAUAUUUUUUAUAACAAUGUAUUGUUCUUGUUAGUUUUUUUCAUAUUGAAUACGUUUAUUGUUAGACUCUUCAUUGCACCUUUAUUGAAUUGAAUUUGACUUAUUCUGAAAUAUUUUACAAUCUCUUAAUUUCUAUAGCAUCUUCAUUGUUUUUAUGAUUUGCACAUAUUAUUAUUAUUAUUAUUAUUAUUUUUCCAAUUGCUAUUUUUUCUUAUCACUCUUAUAUUAAAAUACAUAGUCAUAUUUUUAUUCUUUAACAUUUGUUGUAAAUUUAUUCACAAUUUUUUAUAAAAUAUUUGCUCACUAAAAUCUUACAAGUUCUACAUGUAAUAUAAACAUAUUUUAAAUUUCCAAAUAUACAUAUAAAAAUCUUUACACAUGAUAUUUUUUCUUUCAAAUUCUCUUUUCUUUAGCCUCUAAAGCUUAUUGCCAUUCUUAUGUUGGUACCUCUGAAUUCUAAUCCUUAGAAGGAUAUUUAAAUGUAAUAAUUAUUAACGUGAAUUGUAAUAUUCUAAAAUAUCCUAUAGACUUUAUGAUACAGAAUCUGAUAAGACAUUUUAGUAAAUAAUUUUUUGAAAUUCUUUAGAAUAUUUUAAUUCAUCUUUUAAUUUUUAUGAUUCAAAGUAUUUUAAUAAAGUCUAAAAUUAAAAUUUAGAAACUAUUUUAAUAAAUAUUGUGGUUUAGAUUCACAAAAAGAUGUAUUAAUUGAUAUCUUAAUUUUUUUUAUCUUUAUAAAUAUAUAUUUUUUAUUUUUAUGAUUAAUUUUUAUUAAUUUUAUUAUUAAUCAUAAUGAUUUUUUUUUUUUUAUUGGCACAUACGUCUUCAAGUAGCU